rnacentral:tRNA from 1 species
UCCCGUGUGGCUCAGUUGGUUGAGCAUGGUGUUUGCAACGCCAGGGUUGUGGGUUUCGAUUUCCACGGGGGGAC